rnacentral:rRNA from 1 species
GGAAUUGCUAGUAAUGGCAGGUCAGCAUACUGCCGUGAAUACGUUCCCGGGCCCUUGUACACACCGCCCGUCACACCAUGAGAGUUGGGAAUACCCGAAGCCUGUGAGCUAACUGUAAGGAGGCAGCAGUCGAAGGUAGAAUCAAUGAUUGGGGUGAAGUCGUAACAAGGUACC